AAAAGGCUCACCUAGGCGACGAUCCGUAGCGGGCUGAGAGGAUGAUCCGCCACACUGGGACUGAGACACGGCCCAGACCUCCUACGGGAGGCAGCAGUGGGAAUUUUGGACAAUGGGCGCAAGCCUGAUCCAGCCAUGCCGCGUGAGUGAAGAAGGCCUUCGGGUUGUAAAGCUCUUUUCGGCCGGGAAGAAAUCGUGGUCUCUAACCAUAGGCCAUGGAUGACGGUACCGGACUAAGAAGCACCGGCUAACUACGUGCCAGCAGCCGCGGUAAUACGUAGGGUGCGAGCGUUAAUCGGAAUUACUGGGCGUAAAGCGUGCGCAGGCGGUUUUGUAAGACAGAUGUGAAAUCCCCGGGCUUAACCUGGGAACUGCGUUUGUGACUGCAAGGCUAGAGUACGGCAGAGGGGGGUGGAAUUCCUGGUGUAGCAGUGAAAUGCGUAGAGAUCAGGAGGAACACCGAUGGCGAAGGCAGCCCCCUGGGCCUGUACUGACGCUCAUGCACGAAAGCGUGGGGAGC
rnacentral:rRNA from 1 species